AUAGCGUAUAUUAAAGUUGUUGCAGUUAAAAAGCUCGUAGUUGAAUUUCUGGCCAAUCUCAUGCUGCGCAUCUUGCCGGUAUGAGGUUUGGUCAUCCGUAGGGGAAGCCAGUUCGACCUUCACUGGUCGGCUGGGGGAACCUACAAUUUACUGUGAAAAAAUUAGAGUGUUUCAGGCAGGCAAUCGCUUGGAUACUCCAGCAUGGAAUAAUGGAAUAGGACUUUGGUCUAUUUGUUGGUUUGAGAUCAAAGUAAUGAUUAAUAGGGACAGUUGGGGGCAUUCGUAUUUAAUUGUCAGAGGUGAAAUUCUUGGAUUUAUUAAAGACGGACUUAUG
rnacentral:rRNA from 1 species